rnacentral:lncRNA from 1 species
GAUUGCUGAGGCGAUGAUGGCCGAAGUGAUGUUGCUGGAGCUUUGCUCGAGUACCUACAAAAAGUUCUCACAAGAGGAUUCUCUGAUAAAAUCCCUUGGAUGCUCAAGUUAGGAGAUGGAGAACAAUAAGAAGGAGAGAGUGGGAGUCGAAAACUUAUUUUGGGGGUCCUCAUGCCUCUCUAUUUAUAAAGACGGAGUUAGAGUCA